rnacentral:tRNA from 2 species
GCCUUGCUAGCUCAAUCGGUAGAGCGUGAGACUCUUAAUCUCAAGGUUGCCGGGUUCGACCCCCGCGUGAGGCU